UGAAAUUAGAAGCUUGAUGCAAUUUAUGAGAUGAAUGUUUGCUCAUUCAAUUAGUGAUUUUUGGGUUGCAAUUUUAGUUAGCUGAAGUUUGAAUUAUUUGCCGUUAGUUGAUGCAUUGUUAUUUUGAAUGUGAAAUUUUGUUUGCUGUGACUUAUUGGUUUGCACUGGUCUUGUUCGUGCUACGGUGUAUGGAAGUUGAAGCCAGAACCAUGGUACAUUGGCCUUGAAGCAAGAUGAAG
rnacentral:lncRNA from 1 species